rnacentral:rRNA from 1 species
AACGAACGCUGGCGGCAUGCCUAACACAUGCAAGUCGAACGAGACCUUCGGGUCUAGUGGCGCCCGGGUGCGUAACGCGUGGGAACCUGCACUUAUGUUCGGAAUAACUCCCCGACAGGGGUGCUAAUACCGGAUAAUGUCUUCGGCCCGAAGAUUUAUUGCCUUUGGUUGUGCCCGCGUUGGAUUAGCUAGUUGGUAGGGUAAAAGCCUACCAAGGCGUCGAUCCAUAGAUGGUCUGAGAGGAUGGUCAGCCACACUGGGACUGGGACGCGGCCCAGACUCUUACGGGAGGCAGCAGUGGGGAAUAUUGGACAAUGGGCGAAAGGAUGAUCGAGCAAGGACGCGUGAGUGAUGAAGGCCGUAGGGUUGUAAUGCGCUUUUACCCGUGAUGAUAAUGACAGUACCGGGAGAAUAAGCUCCGGCUAACUCCGUG